AGCCCUGACCCUGAAGCUCUGGAAGAGGAGCCCAGUCCUGGGAUUUUCAGGUGUUUGCAUUUGGUGAUCACAACUGAACACAGAGACUGAACUCACCAUGGAGCUUGUGCUGAGCUUGGUUUUACCUGUUGUUAUUUUGAAAGGUGUCCAGUGUGAGGUGCGGCUGGUGGAGUCUGGGGGAGGCUUGGUUCAGCCUGGGGGGUCUCUGAGACUCUCCUGCGCAGCCUCUGGAUUCAACUUCAGUAGCUAUAGCAUGCACUGGGUUCGUCAGGCUCCAGGGAAGUGACUGGAGUGGGUCUCAACUAUUGGUACUGCUGGUAGCACAUACUGUGCAGACUCCGUGAAGGGCCGAUUCACCAUCUCCAGAGAUAACGCCAAGAACUCACUGUUUCUGCAAAUGAACAGCCUGAGAGCCGAGGACAUGGCCGUGUAUUACUGUAAGAGAGAGACCUAGGG